rnacentral:rRNA from 1 species
UAGGGAAUCUUCCGCAAUGGGCGAAAGCUUGACGGAGCAACGCCGCGUGAGUGAUGAAGGUCUUCGGAUCGUAAAACUCUGUUAUUAGGGAAGAACAAAUGUGUAAGUAACUAUGCACGUCUUGACGGUACCUAAUCAGAAAGCCACGGCUAACUACGUGCCAGCAGCCGCGGUAAUACGUAGGUGGCAAGCGUUAUCCGGAAUUAUUGGGCGUAAAGCGAGCGCAGGCGGUUAGAUAAGUCUGAAGUUAAAGGCAGUGGCUCAACCAUUGUAGGCUUUGGAAACUGUUUAACUUGAGUGCAGAAGGGGAGAGUGGAAUUCCAUGUGUAGCGGUGAAAUGCGUAGAUAUAUGGAGGAACACCAGUGGCGAAGGCGACUCUCUGGUCUGUAACUGACGCUGAGGCUCGAAAGCGUGGGUAGCAAACAGG